rnacentral:lncRNA from 1 species
GAGGAAGAAAGGGCCACAUAUAAGAUGUGAAAAGAUGACAGUGCGACUGUCAAAUGCAUCAUGCUUGCCUCAAUGAGCAAUGAGCUUCAGAGAUAGCAUGAGGACAUAGAUGUUCUCUCUAUGCUCCUUAAUCUUAAGGAGUUAAAUAGAAAAUAAAGUCGAACUACUAAAUAUGAGAUAUCUAAGUAGUUAUUCCAUGCCC